rnacentral:lncRNA from 1 species
CCUGGAGAAAGGUCAAAUGAUAAUAUACUAAAUUACUCGUUUUUAACUGGUUUCAAUAACUGAACGACUUGGUGAGAUGUGAUAUAUCUCAAGAAUCUUAUGUUUUUUUCCUAAGAGAAAAAAAAACACUAGCUUUAGACAACUUACUUUCAAAGCUUAUAAAAGCAACUGUUAGUCUAGUUGCACAGGCUGGAGUGUAGUGGCAUGAUCUGGACUCAUGGCACCCUCCACCUCCCGGGUUCAAGUGAUUCUUGUGCUUCAGCCUCCCAAGUAGCUGGGACUAGAGGUGCACACCAUGACGCCCGGCCAAUUUUUGCAUUUUUAGUAGAGACAGGGUUUUGCCAUAUUGGCCAGGCUGGUCUCAAACUCCUGGCCUCAAGUGAUCUGCCUGCCUCAGCCUCCUAAAGUACUGGGAUUACAGGUGUGAGCCACCACAUCUGGCCUACAGCAUAUAUUUAAUGCAAUACAGCUUAACUUCUAAGAGCAAUUUUAACAUAUCUUAAAUAUAAAAUUAGUGCUAUGAACUUAGUUUCUGCAUAAUUUAUAUACCUCCAUCUUACUUAUCAUUGUGUCUUCACCACCCAGUACAAGGCAGGUAGUUGCUGAACAAGUGAAUAAAUGAAUUAUUUUGUUAUCGAAGUUUUGGGUUUUAGUGGGUAUUCUCUUAUUCUCAUUUGUCAGAAGAUUAAGCUUUGGAAGAAAAAUACUUGAGGGAGCGUUCAAGAUGGGUUAAAACUUAAAUGUCACAUCUGAAACAGUAAAAAUCCUAGAAGAAAUCCUAGGAAAAACUCUUCUGGACAUUGGCCUAGGCAAAGAAUUUAUGAUGAAGACCUCAAAAGCAAACAUAACAAAACCAAAAAUAGACAAAUGAGAUUUAAUUAGAAAAACUUCUGCACAGUAAAAGUAAUAAUCAACAGUUAAUAGACAACCUAUAGAAUGGGAGAAAAUAUAUGUAAAUUAUACAUCUGACAAAGAACUAAUAUCCAGAAUCUACAAAGAACUCAACAAGAAAAAAACCAACCCCACAAGCGGGCAAAGGACAUGAACAGACAUUUCCCAAAAGAAGACAUACAAGCAACCUAAAAUAAUCUAAAAUAAUUUUUAAAAAGAAAAAAUGCUUGACAGAGUUUUGAUAGUACUUAGUAAAAAGUUAUAUCUAGUGGCUUUUUGUUUGUUUGUUUUUGUUUUGUUUUUAAGAAAUAGUCUCUGUUUCCCAAGCUGGAGUACAGUGGCGCAAUCUUGGCUCACUGCAACCUCGAACUCCUGGGCUCAAGCGAUCCUCCAGCCUCAGCCUCCCAAGUAGCUGUUAUAGGCAUGCACCACCACUCCCGACUAAUAUAUCUGCUAUCAAUAACAUAAUUGUUUCCCUU